rnacentral:rRNA from 1 species
GACAGAGGGUGCAAACGUUGUUCGGAAUUACUGGGCGUAGAGCGUGUGUAGGCGGCCAAGCAAGUCGGAUGUGAAGGCCCCGGGCUCAACCCGGGAAGUGCACUCGAUACUGCGUGGCUUGAGUGUCGGAGAGGUUGGUGGAAUUCUCGGUGUAGAGGUGAAAUUCGUAGAUAUCGAGAGGAACACCGGCGGCGAAGGCGGCCAACUGGACGAACACUGACGCUGAGACACGAAAGCGUGGGGAGCAAACAGG